AACGAACGCUGGCGGCAGGCUUAACACAUGCAAGUCGAACGCCCCGCAAGGGGAGUGGCAGACGGGCGAGUAACGCGUGGGAAUCUACCCAUCUCUACGGAAUAACUCAGGGAAACUUGUGCUAAUACCGUAUACGCCCUUCGGGGGAAAGAUUUAUCGGAGAUGGAUGAGCCCGCGUUGGAUUAGCUAGUUGGUGGGGUAAAGGCCUACCAAGGCGACGAUCCAUAGCUGGUCUGUGAGGAUGAUCAGCCACAUUGGGACUGAGACACGGCCCAAACUCCUACGGGAGGCAGCAGUGGGGAAUAUUGGACAAUGGGCGCAAGCCUGAUCCAGCCAUGCCGCGUGAGUGAUGAAGGCCUUAGGGUUGUAAAGCUCUUUCACCGGAGAAGAUAAUGACGGUAUCCGGAGAAGAAGCCCCGGCUAACUUCGUGCCAGCAGCCGCCGUAA
rnacentral:rRNA from 1 species